AGCGAUCAGCGCUAUACAGGGUGAGAUGAAAAAACUGCAACCAACUUCAGUCUGCUGUCAUUUCUAAGCCACUCGUCUGACAGCUGUUAAAAUUAUUCCAGUGACAGCUCAUUAUAUUAAUAAACGUCGAAUAUUAUGGCGAAAAUAUUCUGGAGGGUGUAUUAAAGCCUUGGGCACGCAAACAUUUUGGUCGCAGACCUUGGACAUUCCAACUGGACUCAGCACCAUCGCACUCAGUACGCGCCACCCAAGAAUGGUUACAAAAUGAG